UUCAGCGGCGGACGGGUGAGUAAUGCCUAGGAAUCUGCCUGGUAGUGGGGGAUAACGUCCGGAAACGGGCGCUAAUACCGCAUACGUCCUGAGGGAGAAAGUGGGGGAUCUUCGGACCUCACGCUAUCAGAUGAGCCUAGGUCGGAUUAGCUAGUUGGUGGGGUAAAGGCCUACCAAGGCGACGAUCCGUAACUGGUCUGAGAGGAUGAUCAGUCACACUGGAACUGAGACACGGUCCAGACUCCUACGGGAGGCAGCAGUGGGGAAUAUUGGACAAUGGGCGAAAGCCUGAUCCAGCCAUGCCGCGUGUGUGAAGAAGGUCUUCGGAUUGUAAAGCACUUUAAGUUGGGAGGAAGGGCAGUAAGUUAAUACCUUGCUGUUUUGACGUUACCAACAGAAUAAGCACCGGCUAACUUCGUGUCAGCAGCCUCGGUAAUACGAAGGGUGCAAGCGUUAAUCGGAAUUACUGGGCGUAAAGCGCGCGUAGGUGGUUCAGCAAGUUGGAUGUGAAAUCCCCGGGCUCAACCUGGGAACUGCAUCCAUAACUACUGAGCUAGAGUACGGUAGAGGGUGGUGGAAUUUCCUGUGUAGCGGUGAAAUGCGUAAUAUAGGAAGGAACACCAGUGGCGAAGGCGACCACCUGGACUGAUACUGACACUGAGGUGCGAAAGCGUGGGGAGCAAACAGGAUUAGAU
rnacentral:rRNA from 1 species